rnacentral:tRNA from 1 species
UCCCUGAUAGCUCAGUUGGUAAAGAAUCUGCCUCCAGUGCAGGAGACCUUGGUUCAAUUCCCAGCUUGGGAA